rnacentral:rRNA from 1 species
GAUGAACGCUGGCGGCGUGCCUAAUACAUGCAAGUCGAGCGAACGGACGAGAAGCUUGCUUCUCUGAUGUUAGCGGCGGACGGGUGAGUAACACGUGGAUAACCUACCUAUAAGACUGGGAUAACUUCGGGAAACCGGAGCUAAUACCGGAUAAUAUUUUGAACCGCAUGGUUCAAAAGUGAAAGACGGUCUUGCUGUCACUUAUAGAUGGAUCCGCGCUGCAUUAGCUAGUUGGUAAGGUAACGGCUUACCAAGGCAACGAUGCAUAGCCGACCUGAGAGGGUGAUAGCGCACACGGGAACUGAGAAACGCUCCAGACGCCUAAGGGAGGCAGCAGAGGAGAAUCUUCGGCAAUGGGCGAAAACAUGGCGGAGAACAACCGCGGGGGUGAUGAAAGUAUUCGGAUCGUAAAACUCUGUUAUUAGGGAAGAAAACAUGUGUAAGAAAAUGUGCACAUAUUGACGGUGCCAAAAAAGAAAGCACCGGCGCACUACGUG